CUGAGGAGUCUGAUUCAAUAUAUUCUGUCAUCAUGUGGACUGAUUGAUCAUAAGAUGGCUCCAACUGUCCUAUUUGAAGAUAAUACAGCAUGCAUUGCUCAACUUAAGGGUGGAUACAUCAAAGGUGAUAGAACAAAACAUAUUUCUCCCAAAUUCUUCUUCACUCAUGACCUUCAAAAUCAAGGGACAAUUGAUGUCCAACAGAUCCGUUCAAGUGACAAUCUGGCAGAUUUAUUUACAAAGUCACUCCCAAAAUUCUCCUUUGAAAGAUUGGUACAUGAGAUUGGAAUGCAUCGAUUUCGAGACAUUAAAUGAUGUCGGCAAGAGGGGGAGACUGUACUCUUUUUCCCUUGGUCAAGUUUUUUUUCCAUUGGGUUUUUCUUGACAAGGUUUUUAAUGAGGCAGUUUCCAUCAUAAAGGAUAUUGUACUCUUUUUCCUUCACUAAGGUUUUUUCCCACUGGGUUUUUCUUUAGUAAGGUUUUAAUGAAGCAUAAUCCUAAAUGGGCAUCCAAAGGGGGAGUGUUGUGAUAAGUAUAAAAGCUGAGUUGGAUGCACAUUAAUGUCUGGGUGGCUCAGCUUCUCAAUGGAAAAUGGCAUUAAAGAAAUGUUGAAAAAGUAAAGUAUGUUACCAUUAUAAAUAGCAGAAUGUUGUUUUAUAUUCGUACAUACAAAAACAACAGCAAUAUAAUAAUAUUCUCUUUCUUUCUCUUACUAUAAACAAAUGCUUAUUAUUGAGCUAAUUAUUUUAAUUUUAGAGUCUUCUAUUUAUACAUCUUUAUUUUAUAUAUAUCUUUUAUUUUACAACAGAUUUUACAUUUCUACAAUACUUCUUGACUUUCUUUCUUCCCAUACUUUCUUUCUCUCUCAUUACAUAAACUCAUGUUCAUCAGUUCAUGGUUAAUUAGUGAGAUUCAAAUUUUGAUGGAAGAAGAGUACUAAGAGAAAGUAGUACUGAAAAACAACCGGAUUCUUCACUAAGAAAGGACGUUUCAACUUUCAAUUUUUAUUAUUAUUAUUUUGAGACAAUACGAAUUUAUUAAAAAAAUGAUCAAAUAGUAUUAAAAAUUAUUUAUCAGAGAUUUUAUUUGUAAUGUAUGAAAAUUUUAACGGUUCCGCUAUGUUACCAACAGCAUAUCUGCCAACAUCUGCCAACUCUUAUUUAUAAUUAUGUUUCAUAGAAGUGUGUUCGUGGAUGUGUCUAAUAAAAAUAGUUUUUUUAUAGCUGUGUUUAAUAGAAGUGUCUUUAUAGAUAUAUUUUCUGGAUGUGUCUCUUUAUAUAUGUAUUUAAAAUAUAUUAAUUAUUAGACACAUCCACGAACACACUUCCAUGAAAUACAAUUAUAAACAAGAGUUGGUAGAAAUUGGCAAAUAAUAUGUUAGUACCCUAUACUUUUCCAAAUGUUAAACUCUCAACAAAAUUUUUUUAGUAAUAGAAUAAACUACUACCAUCAUUAUCACUACUUUCUUAAUUUUUGUUUUUAUAACUUUUAUCUUUAUUAUUUUUAUUGCGCAAUUAUACUUUAUCAUCAUUAUUAUUAUUUUUUCUACCACCAUCAAAACCAACACCAUUAACAUCAUCAUUAUCUUCUCUCAUUCUUAUGUGGUGCUAUUUUUUUUUGGAGGCCACUCAGAUAAACACGCUUAAAACGUCUUUUUUUAAAGAUAUUUUCAUGUUGUAUUUUAAUUGGUUUCUGUAUAAUUUAUUCGGUGUUCCUCAUCACAUAUUAUUAAAUUCCUCAAGCACUUUUUAUGUUUGGAUCAGAUAUCAAAUAUAUCCAUAAAAUAAAAAAUAUUAAAAAAUUUUAUUUUUAUAAAAAAAGUCAAUAAUUUUUUUGUUUACUUUUGUAAACAUAUUUACUUUUAUCUGAUUAGAGUGUGGAUCCGAUUCGAUCCAAUCUGAUCAUCUUACAGAUUAGAUCAUAUCCUCAAAUUACAGAUCAGAUACAGAUAAAUACUGUGGAUUUAUAUGGACAUGAUCUAAUCUAUGAACACCCCUAACUACUACUAUAGGUUCAUUGUUGCAAAAGAAUGCUUCUUUUAUUAUAAACCAUUAUUAGAUCUUAAUUACCAUUAAAAUAACUUAAUUGUCAACAAAGAGAUAAUACUUAUGGUCUCUGAAAUUAUGUUCGUAUUUGAAUCCAUAGUUGUAAAAAUCAAACUGGAUCGGUUGGUUCGACCGAAAAACUAGUGAACCGGACUAGAACCGAAGGGUUCGGUUCGAUUUACUCUUUGGACCGUUUAAGGAAUAAAAUUGGUGUGAACUAGUGCAAACCAGUCUAACCGAACUGGUCUGCUUGAAAAAAUUUUUAAAAUGUCUCGAACCAAGAACCUUGGAGCAAAAGCAACCUCUACUUGCCACUUAGCCAUUACACUUCUAAGUAUUAUAUUUGACAAAUACUAAUUAUAUAGUAUACAUAAAUAUCUAAUUUAAUUUAAUUUUUGUUUUUUCUAUUUUUAAAAUUAAUUAUAUUUUAAUUAUAUACCAUUAUUAAUAUAAAUAUAAAUUUCACUAAAAAUUUAUUAAUUUACUUGAUCUAUUUUAUUACUAGUAUUGUGAUUAAAGUUAUUUGUUUUGAUGUUAGUGUUAAAAUCUACUGAUAUUAUAGUUAGAUGAUAGGCUUUGUGAAUUAAUUAUUUUUUUAUUGUGUCAAAAUAAGAUACUAUUGUAGUAUUAAAAUUUUAUGAUUUUUUUAUAUUAGUUAUUUUUAGAAGUUGAGACUUGAUUCUUCAUAAAAUGUUAGUGAAGAUAUGUAUUUUAACUUUUAAUUUUAAGUUUUUAACUAUUUUAUAUUUUAUAUUUAUGUGAGACCGGUUUUAUCGGUUCAAUCAGUGAUUUAUCAGUUGAACCAAUAAACCAGUGAACCAGUAGCUUGACCGGUUCGAUCACUGGUUCGGUUCUAACAACUAUGUUUCAAUCUAAUUUCAAAAAUUUUGAUUUACUCAAUUUAGUCUCCCAACUUAAUAGUUAUGACUCACAUUGGUUCCUAAUCUUAUUUUUGUCACUGUCUCACAAAAUCGUUAACGACAUGCUGAGAUGGACUAACGACUAUUACAUUAUACAUUCUAGCGACUAUUGGAUGUGACAAUUGAAAUUUUUUUUACCUUAUUUUUUUUCAACUAAACACUUAAAACCCUAAUAUGAGUCACGGAUACCUAAGUUAAAAAAUCAAACUAAGUAAAUUGAAACUUUAAAAAUCAUAUUAAAGUUCGAAUAUAACUUCAAAACAGAACUUUAACUUAUGUAGUGAUUAAUUUAAAUGAGAAUCAAAUAAAUCAAAAUUCAACAUAAUUUUUAUCAAUGUUUUCAAAUUCAAAAUUUUUAUACCAAAAUUAACUAGGAUUUUUCUUUAAAUUAAAAAUUUAAUAAAAUAGUGACUUUAAUUAUCUUAACCAAUGUCCUAAUUAAUUACUUUUAUAUCUUAAAAAAAACUGUAUAUGAGAAGAAAAUAAUUAAUUUAUCUACUUUAAUAAAUAGUUAUUUUACUAAAAUGAAAGAAACUAUUUUUUUAGAAUUUUUUAAGAAUUAAUUAAUAUUAUAUAUAUUUUGUUACACUACAUUUAGUUAUAAAAAUUUUAUUUAUUUCUAAUUCUUAUAUUAAAAAUAAAAANNNNNNNNNNNNNNNNNNNNNNNNNNNNNNNNNNNNNNNNNNNNNNNNNNNNNNNNNNNNNNNNNNNNNNNNNNNNNNNNNNNNNNNNNNNNNNNNNNNNNNNNNNNNNNNNNNNNNNNNNNNNNNNNNNNNNNNNNNNNNNNNNNNNNNNNNNNNNNNNNNNNNNNNNNNNNNNNNNNNNNNNNNNNNNNNNNNNNNNNNNNNNNNNNNNNNNNNNNNNNNNNNNNNNNNNNNNNNNNNNNNNNNNNNNNNNNNNNNNNNNNNNNNNNNNNNNNNNNNNNNNNNNNNNNNNNNNNNNNNNNNNNNNNNNNNNNNNNNNNNNNNNNNNNNNNNNNNNNNNNNNNNNNNNNNNNNNNNNNNNNNNNNNNNNNNNNNNNNNNNNNNNNNNNNNNNNNNNNNNNNNNNNNNNNNNNNNNNNNNNNNNNNNNNNNNNNNNNNNNNNNNNNNNNNNNNNNAUAAAUUAAUUAUAUAAAAAUUUUAAGAUAUAUAUAUAUAUAUAUAUAUUUUGAUGAAUGUGAUAUAUUUUUUUAUGUAAAUAAUCUUUUAAAAAAAAUCUAAUAGUUAAUUUAUUAUUUUUUGUUUUAGUCCAAAUUAAAUGUUUUUUAUUGUUUUUGGAAAGAAAAUCUUUUGACGAAUUUAAUAAUAUGUGAUGAGGAACACCAAAUAAAUUAUACAGAAACCAAUUAAAACAAAACAUGAAAACAUCUUUAAAAAAAGACAUUUUAGGCGUCUUUAUCUGAGUGGCCUCCUUUUUUUUUUUAAAACUGCAAUUACUUUUUUCUUUUUACGACAACAUUUCAUACAAUGACUUUCGUCUCUAUUUGAUCACCACCGAUAAGAGAAUUAAAAAAAAAUUACUAAUAAUUUAUGNGUAUAAAUUAUAAAUAAAAUUUCUAUAAAAUUAAUUUUUAUUAUUAUUUAAUAAAUUUUUAGCGAAGAGUUCAUAUGAUCUCAAAAUAACGAUAUUAGGGAUCAAAAUGUCGUUUUUUUAGUGAUCACAUUAUCUUUCGUAAAAAUUAACAAGUAUUCGAAACAAGUAUUUUCUCACGAAAGUGUUAUAUUUUUAGAAGCCAAUAGAUUCAUAGUUUUGCAUAGCAAAGGUUGACCAUACAUUUUUAUAGAAGCUUGUACAUCGUUUAAUAAGGCUUAGGGGAAAAUUAACAAGCGAAGGAAAACUGAGAUUUUAGAAUUACCCAUAGCUUGAACUGUGUAGUUUUGAGCUCUGUAGGCCGUUCCUUUUGCAGAGGAACUUCUGGAUGUACUUAGCUUGCAUUGUAUGAUUAUAUAUAUUCACAAAAUAAAAUAAAUGUCGACACAAACAUUCACUCUUGUGCAAUAUAAUCAUGUAGCACAAUCAGUUUAAUAUUGUAAAGGCUUUGAUUAUUGCUAGUUUCCAAUAAUGUCAGCAUUAUUAUUAUUAUGCUUGAACCAUGGAUGAUUAAGGAACACAUCCUGGUCAAUUCCAGACAGAAACUUCUCCAGGGAGAUGGGGUCUGUCUCACCAUAUAAUAAAUUAUCGGUGUCCAUCAAUAAUAAUCUUUCAUACUCUCUGUCAAUUUCUUCAUCGCUAGAAAAUUGAUUAGCUAGUUGACUUUUAUAACAUUGACUCCUUGUUCCUUCUUGCACAGUAUACUCUAUCCCGUUGUUGAUGUUCAUCAUCGGUGAUUGAUGAACAUUGCCACAAUAAUUCUCAACACCAAGACACGAGGAAUUCUUCAUCAUGAAAUUAUUCCCUAGUAUAUCAUCUAUCUCCCUUUGCAAGCUUGCAACCUGCCCAUAACAAGGUUAAAAUAUGUUACUCUCUGUUCACAAUAUCACUCAUUCAUUUUGAUUAUUCACACACUAAUUAUCAACCUAAAAUUAAGAAUUGAUUACAAAAAUAUUGUUGAUUAGUUAUACUUUUCUUUUUGUAAAUUAACUUUAUUUUGUAUGACCAAUUUAUUGUAUAGAUGUUUUAUUGUUUAUUAAUACUUUUUAACUUAAAAAAGAUUAGAAUGACAUACGUUAUCUAAACUAUAUGGUAGGUGUGACAAGAUAUAAGAAAGUUGAUGGAUUGGAUAAUAAUUAAUUAAGAGGAGCUACUCAGAUAACGAUGUCAAAAACGUCUUUUUUUUUAAGAUGUUUUGUAAUAAUUAAAAUUUAACACAUAUAACCGAUUAAAUUGUGUUAUUUUUAUUAAAAUUAGAUUGGACAAAUUAGUUUAAUCGAAAAAUCAAUAAAUUAAAUUUUGAAUCGGUCUAAAUUAAUUUUUUUUUAUAAAAAAUGACUACAAUAUUCCUAUUAUAAAAAUUAACUAAAAUACUCAUAUAUAUAUUGAAAACUCUAAAUCCUAACCCUAUAAUGGUAGAAAAGAAAACGGAUAAAAUUUAAAAUUUUCAUCAAAAUUAAUAUAUAUAAUAGGAGUAUUUUAGUCAUUUUCUAUAAUAAGAAUAUUGUAGUCAUUUUUUAUAAAAAAAUAAUAUUAAUUUAGAUUAGUUUAAGAUUUGAUUCACUAUUUUUUCGGUCAAAUUAAUUUGUCUGGCUUAAUUUUGAUGAAAAUAAUACGGUUUAAUCGAUUAUAUGUAUUAAAUUUUAAAUAUUAAAAAAAUAUUUAAAAAAAAUAUUUUAAAUAUCUUUAUUUGAGUAGUUCUUUUAAUCCAGAGUACCUGUUGCUGCAAUAGAUAGAUAUAAGCAACACAACCAUAGAUAGGAUCGUGCAUGCGAGCGAGAGCUUGGUAAGUUAUGGUGAUAGCAGCGUCACUUCUGUUGUGCAACGGAAGGUGUAGCAACAGUCUAGAGACGUUGCUAGCACCAAACACCUUAUGAACUGCCGCAAAAUGGGUUGAUGCCUCAUCAUAGGAGAAGUAAGGAGAAAAUACACAAUCUCUUGUGCAUCUUCUCCUUAGGUACUUGCAUGCUCCACAUGAAGACCCAAACCCUUUCAUGACUUAUAUAUAUUAAUACUAUUUAUUGCUUUACUAAUUUUCUUAGUAGUACUAGCUAUAGAUUAGUUUUCUCUAUGGAGACGAACUCGUGACUCCGCUACUUCUUAUAGCCGCCCCAACACUUGGGAUAUAUAGAUGGCCAACUAUUUUUUUUUAUUAUCAUUGAAUUCAAUUUAUAAAUCUCACUUAUCUACUCUUCUUACUUUUAUAUUUAAAGAUAGAGCAAUGUUACACUUCUAAAUUUUUUUAUAAACUAAAUCUAACUAAGUUAAACAAUAAAACUUAAAAUAAUAUCAUCUAUAAUUAAUUUUUAUUGAUGUUAGAUCAAUUUGAUUGAACUUGAUUAACAAAAAUACUUUAAUGCGUAUUAUUCAUAUUUAAAAUGAGUCUAAAGUAAUAAGUACUGUAAAAAUAUUUGAUAACAAAAAAUAUUUAAAAAUAAUUAUUAUUUGGAUUAAUUUUUUUUGUCUCUUUAAUAUUACCAUAAAUAUUAAUAUGCAAGCUAUAUAACAUUAUUAAUUAAAACUUAUAUUUAAUUACCAAAAAUUUUGUAUUUUAGGUUGGUAUACUUUUGUCACUUAGAUUUUAAUAAUCAAUAUAAUAUAGAAAAUUUUUUCAGUAUAUCGAUAUACUGGUAUUUUAGUGAAUUUUAACCGUUAAUUUUAAUUUUAUAUAUAUUAUUAUCUAUUUUUUAUAAUUAAGAUCAAUGAUUAAAAGCUAACAAACUAUAACUCAAAUGUCAUAGUCUUCUCAUACUCACCUAGAGGUUGCGGAUUCAUUCGAGUCCUACUCUUAAUUAAAAGAAAAAUUAACGAUUUAAAAUUAUUAAAAUACUAAUAUACCGAUAUACUUAAAAAUUUUUCUAUAAUAUAUAUCACCUCUCUCUAGCACCUUAUUUUUUCUUUUUACUGUUGAGUUACUUUAGUUAAUGAUCAUAGCUACAUGCCAAAACUUUAGUUAAAUGGGAUUGAUCAUGCAGUUCAUUCCAAGGGCCUACUAAUUAAGUAAUUGAUUAUUAGAUAAGCAUGAUCAUUUGUCGUGUAAAAGCUAUAUAAGUUUGGUUUAAUCUUACUUAAGAGAAAUUCAAGGUUCACUAUGCUUCAUGGAGGUAUCAUGUCAAUCAAAAGCUAAGGCUGAAGGUAUAUAGAAGCUCUAUCAAAGUAUCAAUCGUUUUCUGAUGAGAGAAAAGAAGCUAGCUAGAGAGAAGAAAAACACUUUAUAGUAUGUAACACAUUAUAUAAUAGCUUAUUUAAUUUAAANNNNNNNNCAUAAAUAAAAAAUUUAUAAUUUAUUGAUAGAUAAACAAUAUAUAAAAUUGAUCUUUUCAAAUAUUUUUAAAAAUAUAUAAAUUAUAAUUUAUUGAUAUAAAAUUAUAGAUUAUGUAUCUAUGUUUCUCUUAUUUGAGCUAGCUCGUGAGCUCGAGCCAGCUUGUGAGCUUUUGGUGAGCUGAGCUUGAGCUUAAGAAAUAAGCUCGAUUGUUAAUGAGUCGAGCCGUGAGCCAAGCUCAAUUUUUGUGAGCCGAGCUUGAGCUUGGUCUAGCUCGGCUCAGCUCGGCUCACUUCCAGCCCUACCUGGGAGAUCAUCUUAUAAUGGCAGAUGACCAGAACGAGGAAGGACAUACUGCAUCGGAGUUGGAGCAAGAGCAUCAAGAUGCAGUCAACAAUUACAGAGCAAUAAUAUCUCUGCAAGGAGCGGACAGACAACAUAGAGAAGGCCCCUCAGGCGUUCAAGAUUCAAGAAGAAUCUCCUCUGAGGUGCACGAGCCAGAGAAGGAGGGACAACCUCACGCUGCCGAUCUCAUGGGGCUGCUACACGGCCACCAAAGACGGCUAGAACAGCUGGAACAAGAUCUGAAACGACAGCGAGAAGCGGAGAGAAACCUAAGGAGAGAAGUUGAGCGACGAAACAAGAUUGAAGAAAAGCUCUUAAAACUAGAAUCCAACCUCUGAAAUAGGAGUUCUCGCGUUGACCGAGAAGACACCCCAUUGAGGGGAGAAGAUCCAUUCAGUGAAGAUAUCAUGAGGGCAAAAGUUCCAAAGAACUUCAAAAGCCCUGAUAUGGAUCUGUACGACAGGACCAUCGACCUAAAACACUACCUUAGCAACUUCAAAUAUCAGAUGUAUCUAGCUGAUGCCUCCGAUGCUACCCGCUGCAAAGCCUUUCCAACGACUUUGACAAAGGCGGCGAUGAAGUGGUUCAAUAGCCUCCCCCCUAGGUCGGUCACCAGCUUCGACGACCUCUCGCGUAAGUUCCUUAUGCAGUUUUCAAUCCAGAAGGACAAAGUCAAUCACGCGCCUAGUCUACUGGGAGUAAAACAAGAGGUCGGAGAACCCCUGAAAGACUACGUGGAAAGGUUCAACAAGGCGUGCUUAGAAAUUCAGGACCUGCCUACUAAAGCAGUAAUAAUGGGUCUUGUCAAUGGACUUCGAGAAGGACCUUUCUCGCAGUCCAUCUCCAAGAGACACCUGACCUCUUUGAGCGAUGUACAAGAAAGAGCCGAAAAGUACAUCAACAUGGAAGAAAAUGCCAGACUGCGCGAAUUGAGCUGGCGAUCUGGGUACCCUCACUCAUCAAGGGAAAAGGAGAGGGAGCCCAAGAAGAAAGAAGAAGUCGGGUCUGAAAGGCCCAGAAGAUAUCAUUCUUACACACCCCUACGAGUUUUCCUAGUCGAUAUUUACAGAAAAAUUUGUCACACUGAAAAGUUACAUCCCCCUCGGCCUAUAAAGAACAAGAAGGGGGGGGGGAGUCGUAACGAAUACUAUGAAUAUCACAAGUUAUAUGUUACGACUUAAAAAAUGUGAUAGAAAAGCUGGCCAGGAAAGAUCGGAUAAUCAUGGAAAGAGGAAACGAGAUGAGGAAGAUCGGAGAGAUCCGCCACCAUAGACCCCGGAACGACAUAUACAUAUGAUCUCGGGAGAGUUUGCUGGGGAAGGACUCACCAAAUCAUCUCGUAAAAGACAUCUGAAGGAAGUUUUCCAAGUCGGGAGUAAACUACCCGAUCUCCCAACCAUCUCUUUCACCAAAGAAGACGGGCAAGGCAUUGUUCUCGGGCAUGACGAUCCGGUGGUAAUUACCAUGAUCCUCGCUAAUGCUCAUCUACAUAGAACCCUGGUGGAUUAGGGAAGCUCGGCAGAUAUCCUGUUCAAGCCAGCGUUUGAUAAGUUGGGAUUAGACGAAAAGGAGUUAAGGGCAUACCUUGACACCUUCUACGGAUUGGGGGACACACCAAUAAAACCACUGGGAUUCAUACCCCUACAUACAACUUUUGGAAAGUGGAUGAAAUCCAAGACUCUGAGCAUCGACUUUAUUGUCGUCGAUGUGGGUUCGACUUAUAAUGCCUUGAUAGGUAGAACGACCCUAAAUCGUCUUGGAGAAGUGGUAUCUACCCCCAUCUUUGCAUGAAAUUCCCAACACUUAAGGGAAUUGCAACCAUCAGGGGAGAUCAGAAGCUGGCGAGAAAGUGUUACAACGAAAGCCUAAACCUGAGGAAUAAAGGCAAGGAAGUGAACACCAUUGAGCUCGGAGGCAUCCGAGUUAAAGAAGAAUUACGACCACAGCCCGGAGAGAAGAUUGAAGAGGUACAGAUCAGGCAAGAAGAUGGAAAGAAUACCAAUAUAGGAGCCAAUUUAAAAGGAGAUUUGAAGCAAAAGCUGGUAAGACUCCUACAAGAGAACUCCGACCUCUUCACCUGGAAAGCUUCCGACAUACCCGGGAUAGAUUCUGAGCUCGUGACGCAUAAAUUGUUGGUAUACCCAGGAUCCAGACCUAUUCAACAAAGGAGACGAAAGCUCGGUCCUGAGUGGGCUCAAGUGGUCGAAGAGCAAAUACAAGCCCUCCUAGAGGCCGGCUUUAUUAGAGAAGUCAAGUAUCCGGCCUAGUUGGAAAAUGUGGUGCUAGUCAAGAAGCAGAACGGCAAGUGGAGGAUGUGCGUUGACUACACCGACCUGAACAAAGCGUGUCCAAAAGACCCAUAUCCUCUUCCAAAUAUUGAUGCCCUAGUAGAUUCCAGCUCGGGAUAUCAAUACUUGUCGUUCAUGGAUGCGUACUCGGGAUAUAAUUAAAUCCUGAUGUACAUGUCGGAUCAGGAGAAGACAUCUUUCAUCACGCCUAGAGCGAAUUACUGCUAUGUGGUCAUGCCCUUCGGGUUAAAAAAUGCAAGAGCCACAUACUAAAGGUUGAUGAACAAGGUGUUCGCACCUCACUUUAGGAGUUUAAUGGAAAUAUAUGUGGACGACAUGUUAAUAAAAACCAAGGAUGAGGCCAGCCUCCUGACCGAUCUCUCACAAGUCUUCAGCACCAUAAGGGCGCAUGGGAUGAGAUUGAAUCCCGCAAAGUGCACCUUUGCAGUGGAGGCUGAAAAAUUUCUAGGAUUUAUGCUAACACAAAGGGGGAUAGAAGCUAACCCCAACAAGUGUAGUGUAAUCCUAGAGAUGAAAAUUCUGGCUUGCCUGAAAGAAGUCCAGCAGUUAAACGGCCGGCUUGCAACUCUGUCCAGAUUCCUAGCAGGAUCAGCGUUGAGAUCCCUUCCGCUCUUUUCUCUACUAAGGAAAUGAUGCAAGUUCGAAUAGACUUCUGGAUGCGAAGAAGCUUUUCAGGAUUUCAAAAGGUUUUUAAGCCAACCUCCUGUUCUGACCCGACCUAAAAUCGGGGAAGAACUCGUCUUGUAUUUGGCUGUAGCCGAAAAAGUUAUGGCGCCAGCAUUGAUACGGGAGGAUGAGGUCGGGCAGCAUCCUGUAUACUUCACCAGUAAAGUUUUGCAAGGCUCUGAGUUAAGGUAUCAAAAACUUGAGAAGUUUGUGUAUGCCUUAAUAGUGGCGUCUCAAAGGCUACGGCCUUAUUUUCAAACUCAUACAAUAAAAGUUCGAACGAACCAGCCCAUGAAGCAAAUUCUUCUAAAAACAGAUAUUGCGGGAAGAAUGGUUCAAUGGGCUAUAGAACUAUCCGAGUUCGACCUGAAGUAUGAAACUCGGACAGGAUUAAAGCCCAAUGCCUGACCGACUUCAUGGCAGAAUACGCGGGAGAUCAAGAGGAGGCCUCCACAACUUGUGAGUUGUAUGUGGACGGCUCUUCCAAUAAAGUCGGAAGCGGUGCAGGCAUGAUACUGGUCAACCAAGAGGGGACCCAAAUAGAAGUCUCCCUCAAAUUUGAAUUCUUGGCCUCCAACAAUCAGGCCAAAUAUGAAGCCUUGAUUGCCGGGUUGAAGUUAGCAGAAGAAAUCGGUGCAACCAAAGUAGUGGUCUUCAGUGACUCUCAAGUGGUGACUUCUCAAAUCAACAGAGAGUAUCAGGCUAAAAACCCAAACAUGAAAAGGUACUUAGACAAAACUUUGGAGUAUCUUAGGCGAUUCUCAGAGACCGAGGUCAGACACAUAACCCGGGAGCUUAAUAGCAGAGCAGACGUCCUCUUCAAGUUAGCAAGUACCAAGCCAGGAGGAAAUAAUAGAAGUCUAAUCCAGGAAACCCUCCAAGAGCCCUCUGUCACGAAAACGGGGGCUAAACAAGAUGUCUUAGAGGUAUCCGGAUUAGACUUUGGGUGGAUGGCCCCAUUAAUCGAAUACAUAAAAUUCGACAUCCUACUCAAGGGGGAAAAAGAAGCCAAGAGAAUCCGAAGGGAGGCACAAAGUUACACCUUGGUGAAAAAUAUCCUUUAUAGAAGAGGAAUAUCCACACCAUUGCUGAAGUGCGUCCCAAUCUCAAAGAUGACAGAAUUUUUGGAAGAGGUGUACAAUGACAUCUGCGAAAAUCAUCUCGAAGCAAGGUCUUUAGCCAGAAAAAUUAAUAAUUUUACUGGCCGACCUUGCAGAAGGAUGCUAUCGACUUUGUGAAAAAAUGUUAGGCAUGCCAAAUGCAUGCUAACUUUCAUGUCGCUCCCCCCGAAGAACUUAUCAGCAUAACUUCUCCAUGGCCUUUUGUAAAACGGGGACUGGACCUACUCAGACUUUUUCUCCAAGCGCCAGGACAAGUAAAAUACCUCAUAGUGGGAGUAGACUACUUCACGAAGUGGAUCGAAGCAGAAUCCUUAGCCACCAUCACAUCGUAGAGAGGUCGGAAGUUCCUCUAUAAGAAUAUCAUUACCAGGUAUGGAAUCUCCCAUUCCAUCACCACGGAUAAUGACACCCAGUUCACCGACUCUACAUUCAGAAACUUGGUAGCCAGUAUGAAGAUCAAGCAUCAGUUCACCUCGGUUGAGCACCCACAAGCGCACCCACAAGCAUCAGUUCAUACUGGCCAGAUUGAAGAAAAGGCUUCAAGAUGCAAAGGGGGGCUUAGGCCGAGGAGCUCCCUCAAGUGUUAUGGGCAUACCGGACUACACCUCAAUCUGCCACUGGAGAAACACCCUUCCGACUUGCUUAUGGCAUAGAAGCCAUGAUACCAGUUGAAGUCAAUUAGCAAAGUCCAAGGGUGAGGUUCUAUAAUGAGGUCGACAAUAUUCAGGCACAUAACGAAGAACUCGAGCUACUCCUAGAAAUUCAAGAACAGACCCAGAUAAGGGAAGCAGCGCUCAAGCAAAGGAUGACGAGUAGAUACAACAAGAAAGUCAUUCGUAGAAACUUCACCUUAGAUGACUUGAUUUUGAUUCGUAAUAACAUUGGAGUAAACAAAUCAGGUGAAGGAAAGCUCGCCGCCAAUUGGAAGGGGCCAUACAGGAUAAUUGAAAUACUCGGAAAAGGGUAUUACAAAAUAUCCGACCUGAAUGGUACCGAGCUCCCCAGGUCGUGGCACGCCUGCAACAUGAAGAGAUAUUAUAGCUAGAAGCGAACUCUGCUCCCUGAUGUACUCUUUUUUCUGACUUCACUAAUUUUUCCAAGAAAGAGUUUUCCUGAAGGGGGUUUUAACUAGGCAUCAAAGUGGGGACUAAGGGUUAAAAGUUGUAAAUCCCUUAGUAGCUAAAACAACUUUUGUAAAAGUUAUCUCCAUCAUCGACGAGCAUUUAUUUUAUCUCUUCAUAAAUCCGUUAUUAUUAUUAGGUUUAAUUACUUUGCUGGUCCCUAUAGUUUCGCAAAAUUUUCAAUUAGGUCCCUAUACUUUUUUUUCUUUUAAUUGAGUCCUUGCACCAAUUUUUUUUUAAUUGGGUCCCUACACUUUUUUUUCCUUUUAUUUAGGUCUCUGUACCAAUUCUUUUUUUAGUUGGGUCCCUAUAAAUUUAAGCCAAUUACUACUAAGAGGGACUUAAUUGAAAAAAAAAUUGGUGCAGGGACCCAAUUAAAAAGAAAAAAAGUAUAGGGACCUAAUUGAAAAUUUCACGAAACUAUAGGGACCAACAGAGUAAUUAAACCACCUUAUUAUUAUUCUAUAAAACGCACCGAUUUAAGCUCGAAAAAGCGUGAAAAUUUCUUGACCGACCUGAGUGGUCGGCGAGAUAAAACGAUGAGGUACAAGUCGGUGUAAAGAGGUUACAAAAGACGAUCAUGAUAACUCGGAAAUAAUAUCGUUAACGACUCACAAGUCGGAAAGCCCGAGAAAAAACAAAAUGCAUCGCAAAAAUAACCUAAGUUAUGAAAACAAUUCAAUAAACAAAAUUGAAUAUGUAAAGUCAAAACAAAAGAGAUACAAAAAUCCCUCAAGGAUAGAACCGAAGGUUUUCUCAAAAUUACUCGGCAAAAAGUUUUCGAAAAGUUUUGGACGAUAGUGAAAUUGUCUAACUUAGAUAAAACAGUCCAUAUGACGAAAAGCUUUCUUUGUAAACUUGAAAGAUCAAAACAAUAGAGGUUUUUCACAAAAAGCCUUAUAAAGUUAAAAGAUCAUUCAACAAAAUUUUUUUUUCAUCAAGCAUAAAAAACGUCAGCAAGCAUACAUAAUAAAAAUAUUUUUGUUAAAAAGCCCUUACCCAAAAAAAGGACCAGCAAAACAAAUAAUUGUUGUUAAUGACCCUAUUAGGGAUCAAGUGUCAGAAGCCCCCACAUAAAACAAACACAUAAAAAUAAAUUGUUCAAAACGGGCCCACAAGUCAGCCCUAGUAGCCAAAAAUCAUUGAAAACCAAGAAGAGGAUUGGAGUCAUCAGCUGGAAUGGAGCUCGAGUCUGCUGCAGGAGUCGAAGGGAUCUCAUCGGCCAUAGUAGUCAGAGCAUCGUCUGGUCGAGAAGAAGAGCUCGGCAAGGAUCCUUCAAUUUGCUCAACCUCAUGGGGAGGAGAUUCAAUAACGCGCUGCCCACGAGUCUUCAACUCGGAAUCGGUCUCAGGACGAGGAGGGGAGACAAUUUCUCUAUUAAUGACCACUUUGUCAAGAUGGAGGGGUGAAAGGUCCAAGUCAAGAGCGAUAACUCCGACUUGUUCCUUGAACACCCUGAAUGCCUCCUCCGAGCUCUCAAUAAUAGAAUCCUCCUCCAGGUCCUAAUAGGCCUCCCGAUUCGACUCCAGUUGCUUCUGCAGAUCAAUAUUCUCAGAAAAAUCCUCACAUAAUUUUUCUCAGCCUUGCUCUUCAUCCCUUCAGCCAAAGCACAUUGGGCCAUUAACUUUUUCUCCUUCUCCUGGAACUGAGCGAGCUCAUCUUUCAGCCAGGUUUUCUCCUCCUACAAUCUCUUCUCUUCUUCCUGGUAUAGGACAAUCCUCCCUUGAAGAUCCUCUAUGGACUUCCAAGUAGUACUCAAGGGAGUUUUGUCCAAAAUAUCAAGGAGAGAAGUACAAACCCCAGCAGUCCGAAUUCCACCUCGGAUCAAGAUGUUAAGAUGAUUUCGGAGAGCAGCAUAGCAAUUUGGCUAUAAGGAAGGAUGUGCCUCCUAGCAAACUUUGGACCAUCGAACCCAGCAUCCCCAACGCUAGAGGAGUCGGAUUCCAUGGUUUUUCAUUUUUUUUCUCAAGCUCCGAGGUGGACUGAGCUGGGGGAGGAGGAGGAGGAGGAGGAUGAGGAGGAGGAGUAAUAGGAUUUACCAAAAGGGGCUGAGAGUAUGACCCCAGACCCGAGCUUUGACGACGAGGGGGAGUGGAUGAGACCCCGACUUCCUGCGCAGCAGCUCGGGCGCGAGCCUUCCUCUUCGCCUCCUGGACCUUCUGGUAAGCAGCGCUUGACCUGCUUUUCACCAUUUCUGAAAGAAAGAAUAAAAGUUGAUUAGCCUACACACCGGAAAAGAACACAUUGCAAGUCAGAAUUCAUCAAAAGCAGCCACAAAGAAAACUACCUAGCUCGGUUUGGAUGAAACUCGAAGGGCCAAGAAGGAAUUUCUUAGUAACUAGGUUCGGAGCUCGCCCCCAAGCCUCUCGAAAAAACCCAAAAAUGGCCUCCUCUACCUCAUCCAAGUCAUCUAGGCUAUAUUUAUCAACCGGGGAGGCCUCCAACCAGUAUAGAGGAAAUUGGGGUUCAUUGUUCUCAUUCAAGAAAAAAGGAUGAUGACCUUCUACGGCCUGGAUCUUGAAGAAAAAGUUUUUGAAGUCCUAAAAGGAUUCAUCAAAGAUGGAAAAAACUUUCCGACCUCGAAUAGCCCGAAAAGACACCCACUGCUGUUUGUUUUGUUUAUUGGAAGCACUAAAGGACUUGGUCAAGUAGAAGAGAUAGAAAAAGAUUUUUAAAGAAAUCGGAAAAUCAAGCUCUUGCCUCACAAGUUGGUAAAUCUUCAUAAAACCCCAAGAAUUGGGACGAAGCUGGGUAGGGGCAACUCGACAAUGAGAUAAAACUCCCAUCUCAAAGUCGGAAAAAGGAAAGGAAACCCCCAAGCGGGUAAAAAGGCAAUCAUACAUGAAAAAGAAGUGAGGCUCAGAAUCAUUGAUCCUCCCACAGCGAAACCGAUCGUCAGUAUCUGGGGCCACUAGUUCGUAUUUUGGUUUGUCAGCAUCAAGGAUACAAAUCCUAUGGUAUUUGCGGAGCUCGGUUAAGAAAACAGUAUCCACUAGAGGGUGUUUAGAAAGCACGGAGGAAUCUACCCAUCUUAAAAGGGUCUUAGGGAUACGAGAAGACAUUUUUCCAGAAAAAUAAAAUAUAAGGAAAUAUACCUACAUGACACAAAAGAAAAGAAACCAUAAAAAAAUAGGGUUCUAACAACAAGAUAGUUCUUUCAUAGCAGAUAAAGGAAACAGCCAGCAAGCAGUAAAAGAAAAUAACUUUUCUAAGAGCAGAACAUAGAAAUCCCAAAGUUUCUCACUACAACAGCAAGCAUGCAUCAAAGAUAUAGCUUAAAACUCCCUUCCUGACAUACGGUACACCAAACGAGAAUAAAAGAAAAUACGGUGAAAACAACAAAGGAAAGCAAGAUAAGAAGAACUAACCUUCUUUGUAAAGUCACCAAAGGGAAGAGUUCCAGUAGCCGAGGUAAAGCACCCGCGAACGAAAGGUCAAAGGGAGUUUUAAGUGAAAGAGUGAAAAGAGCAGGGAAAGAAACUCCGAAGAGAAGACGAAAGAAAACAAAGAAAGGAGAGGAAAAGUAUUUAUAACGUACUAGGGGCAUAACAGUAAAACGACAUUGUCAUUAAAGAAACACACCGUUACCAAUGUAACUGCCCCCCUCUCCCCACGUGUAAAUGUAAGCUCCGAACGGACGCGACGUUUGAUUAGACACGACGGUUGAGAAAUUCAAAAUCACGUCGGUUCUAAACUAAAAUCACGUCAUUUUUCCGACUUGAAUAGACCCGAGUUCAAUUAAUACUCGAAUCCAACUCAUAGCUAAGAGAUCGGACUCAAGUAGGGACAUUGUUCAUGCCCUGCUCCAAUACUAUGGUCCAGGCCCAAGUAAGUUAAAAAAGACCCAAUCCAAAAGAUAGCCUUUACCGCUUACCCGACCUCCUCAAAGAGGUCGGAUUCGACAUGAGCUGGUAGAUAACACUUAUACAUAUAAGUAACUACCCCCUAAAAUCUCUCACCCACUUCUAAAAGAGAUAUCUUAACAACCCUAAGAUAAAGGGACGGUUAUCCACCUUCAGAAGUGGAACUACUCCAACGGUGGUUAUUGGAUCAUCACCUAUAAAUACACUGACACACUCAGGUAAACCUAAGUUCCAAUACACUAAAAACUUGCUAAAUCCUUUGCUGACUUAGGCAUCAGAGUGUCUUUGCAGAUACCACCCCCAUUCCGUCAAAUACACAACUCGAACGAUAAUUCUCAGACGUAAACCAAGUCGAAAACCACCUUCUUCUAAUGUUUGGGCCUUUCAUUCGAGUCCAAUCCAUCUAUUUCAUGUUACCCACGUAACAACUAUAUAUUUCAGUUAUUAAUAGAAGGGCGGAGUUGUGACAUAUAUUGUCACUUCAACUAAUUAAUCAUAAAUGUUAAAUACAUUAUUUUUGUAUAUUUUUUAUAUUAAAAGUGAUUAAUAGCGAUAAAAAUUUGAAACUAAACAAAAAAAAUCUAAAAAAGUAUGCAUAUAAUAAUAAAGUUUAAUUUUGAUGCAUUGAUAAUAUAAAAGAUUUUACACAGUUGUAUAAUUACAAUGCAACCGUUCUCUUAGAUGACCAUUUUCACGGUCAAUGUAAAAAUUAGUUAUUUUUGUUAAUAUGGUGUUAUAUAAUUGAAUGCACGUAUAAAACGGUUGUAUAUUGACAAUGCAUAAAAAUUGAAUUUAUAAUAAUAAAAGAGUGUCAUGUGACACAUUUUGGUUAUUAAAUUAGUUUUAUAAUAUAACUAUAUUUCAAUUUUAUUUUUAGUCGUAAUUAGAGAAUGUCAUAUUGUAUAUUUUGAUUGUCAAAUUAGUAAUUAAUCAUUGAUAAUGAUAUAUAAGAAAAAUAAAGUGAAUGAAAAACAAGAGAAAUAAAAAAUUUCUUUAAUUUUAGAAAAAAAUAUUUAAUUUUAAUUAAAAUAAAAAAAUAAUAUAUAAUCUAUUUUAAUUAUAAAAUUAGUAAUAUAUAAUAAAUAAAUUUUACCGUAAUUCAUAUAUAAGUAAAUGAUUACAUAAUCAACUUAGAGGUUGAUCUGGUAAUUAUUAUAUUAGUCUGUUUAAUUAAGUAUAAAGAUUUAAAUUUUGUGUACCUAUAAUUUAUUAACUAACAUUCUUAAAUAAAAUCUUAAUUUGCGUUGAAUUAAUUUUUUAUCAAUCGAAUUAAAAAAUAUCGUUAAAAAAAAAUAAAUGAUUACCUCAUGUGGCGACAUUUUUGUCUGCAUACUGUUAAUGGUCCAUUAUUUUCCCGAGUAUAAUCUUUGUUUAAUUCAAAUCUUACCUUAAUUCAGGUUUAGCUGUUGGCCACUCAACUGGCUGGGGUCGAUAAUCUACAAUCCACUCUUGUUAUUCCCGAAAUGUUUCUAACUUUAAGAAACCUGUAGUUAGAUUGUAUAAUUGUUAAUUAUUUGUUUUUCUAAUUAAUAUCUCUCUCAUUUUUAAAUUUAUUAAAAAAUUGAUAUAUUUAGACAAAAAAGUUAUCUAGUUACAUUUAUUUUUUAUUAAACCUAAAAAAAGAUAUUUAUUUUAAAAGUAUUAAUUGAAUUUAUCUNNNNNNNNNNNNNNNNNNNNNNNNNNNNNNNNNNNNNNNNNNNNNNNNNNNNNNNNNNNNNNNNNNNNNNNNNNNNNNNNNNNNNNNNNNNNNNNNNNNNNNNNNNNNNNNNNNNNNNNNNNNNNNNNNNNNNNNNNNNNNNNNNNNNNNNNNNNNNNNNNNNNNNNNNNNNNNNNNNNNNNNNNNNNNNNNNNNNNNNNNNNNNNNNNNNNNNNNNNNNNNNNNNNNNNNNNNNNNNNNNNNNNNNNNNNNNNNNNNNNNCUUAAAAUUACAAUUAAUAAAAAAUUAAUUUUUGAAAUAAAUAUAUUAAGGCUGGUUUGACAAAGCUUUCGAAAAAGUACUUAUGCGUUUUAACUCUUCAUUUUGUGUUUAGUAAAUCAAAAAGACUAUAUGUUUGUGUUUGUAACUUUUAAAAGAUUCGAUACUUUUAAAAGCACCUAAAAUAGAGCUUUUCAAAAUUAGUUAGUGCUUUUCAAAAUUUAAAAGUCUAAUAUAACUUUGUAUGUUAACUAAUUUUUAAAUUUAAUGGUUACAUUUAUGUCUGUUAUAAUAUUUUUAAAUUUUAAAAAUUAUUUUAUCAAAUGUAAUUAUUGUUACUUGUGUUUAUUGAAAGCUAUUUUUAAUUUAAUUUACCAAACAUAAAUACUAUAAUUUUUAAAAAGCCAUCUUUUAAAAAUUAAUUUUUAUAAACUACCUUUAAAAAAAUAAAAAUUUUACCAAAGUAAGCCUAAAAAUUUAACUUUUUAUUAUUAUACUCUUAACAUAUGCUUAAAAACACAUCUUAGUUAGAUUUUUCAAUUUUUUUUUUAUUGAUAACAUUAACAGUGACGACCUUGUCAACUUAAAGCUUGUUAAUAAUUAUGCAAGACAUACUAAUAGUAGUACUCCUUUACAAACAAAGUUACCACGAAGAGAAUCUAAAUUUCUUAACUUCGCCCACACUAACUAAUAUAUAAAGACACCAAUAACAACUUACAGUGACGAACUUAUUCAUAUUACUGUCUAUCAUGUGAUUAUCUAAUAAUAAGAUGUGGGGAUAAAGGAGAGGAUGUGGUGACGAGGAAGCUAAGAAAGGCUAAAGGAGGAGGCGAUAGACAACACCACUUUCAUAUUCACAACUUUCUGGUUUCUGUCACUCGAAUGUGUUCUUAUCUUUGACCUAUGGUCAUGCAUGUACGCGCGAAUGGAGGUUUGUGAAGAGAAAUAUAUAUAGUUGAUGUCUCAUAUAAACUUAAUGCAUUAGAUUAAUUCAUAACGAAUAAACAUAUUAAUUAGGGGCGUGAUUGCAUUAAUUUUAAUUUGCAAUUUAAAGUAAGUGAUUCAUGUGUGGCAAUAUUUUUUUUCAAAGAUGAUUUUGACAAAAUUAAUAAAUAUCUCACGAAUGCUUUUAACAAAUCCGAAUUGUUUUCGAGAUAAAUGGAGAAGAAAAAUUUGUUCGCUUACAUGAUACAAUUGAUUUCGAGCUAAUAACAUGGUUUUGAAAAUCGAACUGAUUGGUUCAAUCGUGUUAAUUGAGAAUUGAUCUUCUAAUUGAUUCGGUUGACAUAAAAAAUUAUUCUGCCAAAAAUGAAUGAAAAAAUUAGUCGAAUUGGUAGUUAAUCGAUAAAUUGUCGAAAUUAAUCUGAUUUUUAGAAAGUUAAUAAUGGUUCGCUUUUUUUUUUUGUUUAAAUUCCCCAAAAUGGCGCCAUUUCAAUUUAAAAAAAAAAAAGAAAAUGCUCCCCCCUCUCUGAGACUCACAAUUCCAACGAUCUAACUUUAAACCUUUGACUAUAGUAGCCUAACUACUAAAUUCAAAUUCAUUAUCGAGCUCUUUUUCUGUGGUAGAGGACGUUGUCGUUGUCGGCUAAGACAGCAGGUGUUGUCGUCGCUUGUGAAAGAUUUGCUCGCUUCUCGUCGCUUGUGAAAGAUUUGCUCGCUUCUCCUCGAUGUCACACGAAAGCCUACUCGGAGCGGUUGGCAUUGCCGUCUCGAAGGACUGUUCCGUCGUCGUCUCUACUCGAUUUGUUGGUGCUCUGUGUGUGUGUGUGUGUGUGUGACGUUUCUCUUUGCUCGGCUAUGGAGUAUUCGUCACAUCAUCACCUCCCUUCCUCCCUCGCCUCUGGUAAGCACCGCUGCUUCAAUUAUUUUGGUUAUUUUCUUAAUUUUACUUAUUUUGAUUUCUGAGUUGUUAAUGGUGCUAUGGUGCAGUGCUUCACUGCAUUGUUUAUAUUGGAAUUUGUCUGAUUUUGAGUUAUUUAUGCUGAUUUUUCUGAUUCUAAAUUGUUGAUACUUGAUAGUGCUGAGGUGUAGUGCUUCACUGCAUUGUUUAUGCUGAUUUUUCUGAUUCUGUUGUUAUUUUUUUGUUUUUAUAAUUUUUAUGAAAUUGGAAUAAUUUUUGUGGUAGAAUAUUAUGUUUUUGUCAUUUAUGUACUGUUGAGUUUGAAUAAACAAUAACAAUAAUUUACCAACGCAAGUUGGCACACAUGGAUGAGGGUCUGUGUCCCUUAAUCAUCUCUCCCGGGUUCGAUACUCAUUGGAGGAUGCGAAUAGAGCUUGCUUACUUGGGAAGGUCGCCCACUUUGUGCCUUUGUAGUACCCGAGGGAUUAGUCAUUGGACUUCCAGCCUGAUGGAUACCCUUGUGCAAACAAAAAAACAAUAACAAUAAUUUGACGAUGAUCAAACAUUAUAACAUUGAGUAAAAAAAUUCAAAGUGUGUGAAUAAUCUGUUUUGGCUAAGUGUGCAGGCCAAAUUCAAAAGAAAGAGCAACAAGCAAAGCCCAAUGAUAGUUCAGACCUAUGAUCAAAGCAUUUAACUAAUUCACUCACUAAUGACCCAAGAAAUAAUUGCUAAUCACUAACCUAGAUGGAAAGCAACUCAUUUUUCUCUAAACCACAAAGCAAGGUGACCGAAGUCAUUCUCUCUCUUCUCUCUUUUCUAACCCACGUGAAGAAGUCCCAAAAGAAAGUAAGGAAAAGAGAGUCUGAUUAGGGUUCAAAUCAAGAAAAAAAAGUGAAUUAUUAAAAUCAAGAAACAAAAGAAAAAAGAAGAAAAAAGUCAAAAGCUAAGGCUCAAAGGUAAAGAUUAAAUCGAAAGGUGAAUCAGAAAAUUUUUCUUUGUACUUUAUUGUUGCUUGUUGAAGAUGCUUUCUCCCUACAUGCACCGAACAGAAAACUUGAAGAAAAUGGAGGUUAUGAAGUUCUACUACAAAUUAAGAGUCAAGAACUAAACUUGGAGCCAAAGUAUUAAUGAAUGGCUCAGAUCUUUGAAGAAAUUUGAAAAAGGUAUGAAAAAAGAGAAGCAGUUAGGUAAGAAUACAUGUUGAAAUUAAUCGCUACUGUUGUCUCAUUUCUCUUAUGUGCUGUUGCUGCUGUGUUAUUAGAGGAAGAAGUCAAAGCUGUUCAAACCAAGUUUCAAAUUUUGAAAGCUCUACUCUAUUAAAGGUGUAAACGGCCAGAUAUUAGACUAAGGAGUGAGCACACAAGUUUGAAUUUUCAUAUCUUUCAAGUUAAUGCUUCUUCUCUUUUAUGAGUUUACAUUAAAUUUUCUUUUUUUUUAAUGUUCAUCUUUCUUUGUUUCUUUUCAAUGGAAACAAGGCAUUAAGUGAGGAAUCAGUAAAAGUCAUUGAGAGAAAAGGUAAAGAGAGUUAUCUAAAAAAAGCCAGAAAUUAUGUCAAAACUCUUUUGUAUGUUUUUCUGUUUUGUACACAUGAUUUUGAGGGGAUUCCCUUGAUAAGUUGGGUGAGCAAUGAGCACUUAGUGGUUGCAAGUCUAGGGAGUGAACCUAGCAAAAUCUAACUUGGGUAGAAGCUGGGUUUGUCCCAGAUAGGAUUUGGUUGAAUUCUAGAAAAAUUGGUAUUUGUAAUAAUUGUGAAUGAUAGUGAAAAUUCUACCACUGUUGUGGGAGAGAUUAGAUGUAUGUCACAUUUCACAAGGUGGCUGAACCAGAAUAUAUCGUUGUGUGAUUCUCUCUUCUCUACUCUUCUUCUGUUUUCUUUUGAUAUGAGAUAAAAUAAAAGUGUCUCUUAGCUUGCAUUGCCUAUUUCACAGCUAUGCAAACAUAAAGAGUUGCUCUGUUCCUAAAUGCAUUGUGAAGAGUCCAAAAAAAUUUGUCUUUUAAAAUUUUAACUUGACAGACUUAACAGCAACAAAGGGUUUAUUUGGAUGAGCUUCUAAAAAAGAUCUUUCUUUGAGUUAUCUUUUUUUAAAAGAUUUUAUAGAAAGUAAAAGUAAUUUUAUGUUUGGAUAUUGUUACCAGAUCAAAAAGAAACAAACGUAUAGCUGUAUGGAAGUACACAAUUAAGACUAGGUAUAAAUCUGUGAAAGUGUAUAUGGUAUAGAAUUAAUGGAAAAAUUGGGAAUGUGUACAAAAUUUGGGUAAGAUAGGAAGUUCCAAGUUCACCUGUGCAAAAAAAGGAAUGAAUCAGCACAGAGUAAGUAAAUAGAAGGAAAUGACAGAGAGAAUGAAAGAUAGAUAUAAAAAGAAGGCUCUCACAAUUUCCUCCCCUUUCUCAGUUCGCUGUUGCUCCUUCAUAUUGGCUCCUCACUCCUCUCCUUCCAUGUGAAAGUUUGUUAGAUCCCUUCUGUUGCUCCCCUUUUUUCUAACGGUUCUCUCUCUCUCUCACUUGUAACAUUACCCCCUCCAUUGAAAUGGACCUUGUCCUCAAGGUCAAAACUGGGAUAUUGUGUCUUCAUUUCUUCAUAGGGUUCCCACGUUGCCUCCUCUCCCGAGGUAUUUUGCCACUUAAUAAGAACUUCUUCAAUCCACUUGCCAUCUUUUUUUAUCAUUCGAUGCCCCAAGGUAGUCUGAGGUUGUAAUUGAUAUCCCUUCUCAUCUACUAACAGCGGAGAAGGGAUGGUAGCUGGUGAUGGGACCCUACACACUUCUUGAGCAGAGAUAUGUGAAAGACAUGGUGGAUUCGGGAUGUAUUGGGGAGUUCCAGCUUGUAGGCUACCUUACCUAUUCGAGCAAUGACGGGAAAAGGACCAAAAUAAUGCAUGGAUAAUUUCUGGUUCCGCCUCAGGGUCACGGAUCGCUGGCGAUAAGGCUGUAGCUUGACGUACACAAAAUCUCCCACCUGAAAUUAUAAUUCUCUGCGUUUGCUAUCUGCCUGGUUCUUCAUCCUAGUUUGGGCCUUCUGUAAGUUCAGUUUUAAGGAAGCUAACACCGAGUCUCGUAGGAGUAGUUAUUCUUGUAGAGCUGGGGGAUCCUUUGGGUAGGGUUCAUAUCGCAAUAAAGUAGGAGGGUCCUUGCCGAACACUGCUUUGUAUGGUGACAUGCCGAUAGAGGAAUGAAAGGAAGUGUUAUAGCUAAAAGCCACCCACGGUAAAAGGUUAUACCAAUCCUUCGGGUUCUCUUGCGUAUAGCACCGCAGAUACAUCUCUAGGCAAUGAUUUAGCACCUCAGUUUGGCCAUCAGAUUCCAGGUGGUAUGCUGAGCUUCUAGCCAAGCGUAUACUUUGGCCCUUGCAGCACUGCUCCCAGAACUUGCUCGUGAAGACUUUGUCCCGAUCAGAGACAAUGGACUGUGGCAAACCAUGGACACUCACCACAUCGCGAAGAAAGACCUCUGCCACUUUUGGUGCUGUGAAAUUAGCCGGGAGCGAUAUGAAAUGAGCAAAUUUUGAUAAACGAUAUACCACAACUAAUAUGACGGAGCAGCCGUGGGCUGGGGGUGAACCGGUGAUGAAGUCCAUCGAAAGAUCUUGCCAAAUAUGUGUUAGAAUAGGGAGAGGUUCCAACAAACCGGCCGGAGGUUGAGUGCUGUAUUUGGCCUGUUGGCAAAUGGAGCAAGAUUUGAUGUAGUCCUUCACGGAUUGCGCCAUGUUCUUCCAAUAAAAUUGGGCGGAUAAUCUGGAUAAUGUUUUUUUGCACGCCGCCAUGGCCACCCACAAUUGAAUCAUGAAAUUCUCGUAACAGGUGUUGCACCAGAGAUGAAGAAUUUGGAAUUAGUAACCGGUUAGUCCAGUACCAAAGCCCACCACGGUUCUGCAGCUUACCAGAAUUCAUCUCAUCCUCAGAAAAUUCAGUUUCUGGCCGAAACCGUUGAUGCUCAUCCUUUAAGAGCGGUAGUAAUGCCCAAGAAGAUGUAGAGAGCUGCCAGAAUGAUCUGGACAAUCCGUCUGCUGCUUUAUUCUCGCACCCCUGCUUGUAUUCUAUAGAGAAAUCAUAACCAAGUAGUUUGGCCAACCAGGUUUGCUGUUCUGGUGUCUGAAUGACUUGCGUUUGGAGUUCCUUCAAGCUUUUAUGGUCCGUGCGGAUGACAAACUUAUGGCCUAAUAAAUAAUGUCGAAACUUAGUCACUGCCGCGAGAAUUGCUUGCAUUUCUCUUGCAUAUGCCGAUUGUUUCUGUGCCGUUGGUGCUAGCAUUUUGGAGAAAUAAGCAAUGGGGUGACCGUCUUGGCUUAGAAUAGCCCCAAUUCCAGUUCCAGAUGCAUCAGUUUCCAAAACAAAAGGCUUAGAAAAAUCAGGUAAAGCCAAUACUGGAGCAUGAGAGAGAACCUCCUUCAAUUUCACAAAAGCCAUUGUGGCACAAUCAGACCAGAGAAAACCAUCCUUCUUUAGGAGGUCAGUUAGAGGACUCGCAAGGAUAGCGAAAUUCCGGAUGAAUUUACGGUAAUAGCUAGCCAAACCGAGAAAAGCACGUAAUUGUUUGAGUGAUGUAGGGAGCGGCCAUUGAGUAAUAGCUUGCACCUUUGACUCGUCGACCCGGACACCCUUCCGUGAUACCACAUGGCCCAAAUAAUCAACCUGUGUCUGCCCGAAUGAGCACUUAGAAAGUUUGGCAAAUAAAACAUUCUCUUUCAAUAUGGAUAGCACCUGUCGCAAAUGCUCCAAAUGAGAGGGACAAUCUGGACUGUAUACUAGUAUGUCAUCGAAGAAAACCAACACAAAUUUUUGAAGAACGGCAACAAACACCGAGUUCAUGAGGCAUUGGAAGGUAGUUGGAGCGUUGGUCAACCCAAACGGCACUACCAACCAUUCGUACAAGCCUUGGUGAGUCCGAAACGCAGUCUUGUAACGAUCCUCUGGCUUAACACGAACUUGAUGAUACCCGGCCCGCAAGUCCAAUUUUGAAAAAUAUUGGGCACCGCAAAGUUCAUCCAGAAGUUCAUCCACGGUCGGCAUAGGAAAAGAGUCCUUAAUGGUCACAGCAUUUAAAGCUCGAUAGUCGAUACAAAAUCACCAAGAGCCAUCCUUUUUCUUAACAAGAAGGACCAGAGAAGAGAAAGGACUGGCACUUGGUUGUAUAAUUCCUUCGGCCAGCAUUUCACACACAAUUCUCUCAAUUUCGAAUUUCUGACUAUGUGGGUACCGGUAAGGUCGCACCUUUACAGGUGCCGAGUUGGACAGCAAGUGAAUUUCAUGAUCACGAGAAUGCACCGGGGGUAACCCGUGGGGUGUAUCAAAGACCUCUUUAAAGGAGUACAAUAGCUUUUCCAAAUCUGGAGGCAUGGAAGUGGGCAGGUCUAGUACCAGUUGACAUUCUUCAGUUAUAGGGUGCAACUGGAGAGUAUAUAAUUCCAAAAUCUCUUGUGCAGCAUGUAAACGCUUGAGAUUGUUAAACUGAGCUUGAGUAGGCAAGUGAGUCAAUUCACCCUGCAAGGUCACAAGCUUGUUACCAUCCAUAAAAGUAAUGAACUUCUUCCUAUAGUUCACCAAAUGAGUAUCCAAAGUCUCGAGCCAAACAUCACCCAAAACAAGUUCCUCGGUCGCUAUUGGGAGGACAAAAGCUGUGAUGAAUAGCGUGUGGCCUUGAAUCAUUACAGGCACCUAUCAGACUUCCCCGUCACAUUGUAAUAAGUCGCCAUUCUCAACUUCAACUUGAAAUUGUGGAGCCUGGUGAAUGGGUAGAUUCAAAUGCUGGGCUAAGGAAGGGUGGAUAAAAUUAUCCGAACUAUCACAAUCCAUCAAAAUUCGGACCUCUCUACCCUGAACAUUCCCAGAGAAGCGAAUAGACCUCUUGGUCAGUCUCCCCGUUAGCACAUUAUAGGACAAGUGCAAGGGUUCUGGUGUUGCCACUACCUCAGAAGGCUCGUCUGGCUGCUUAAUCUCAUGAAUUUCUUCUGACAGGGGUUCAUCAGAUGGCACUUCUUCCAUUGUCUGAAUUAGAAAGUAAUGCUUGGCUGUACAUUUGUGGCCAGAUAAGUACUUCUCAUCGCAUGUAAAACACACCCCCUUCUCCCGUCGAAAUUGAAUCUCAGUAGGGGUUAAUUUGCGCAAGGUCCCUGUCUUAGUGGGUGUGGCUAGUAAAGGGGCAUUUUGUGGCGAGGUGACCGCAGAUGGGGGUGAGAGGGGAGGUUUGGGGGAAUGAGUAGCGGGCGAUUUCAAAUAAGGGGGAGACGAGAGUGAGUUCCGCCAACGCUGGGGCUGUGGUAAAAAUUUUUCGUCAAACAAUUUGACCAACGACACCGCAUGCCACAGAAAUGUGGGGGAGCGAGACUUGACCUCGCGUUUGAGCUCCGGGAUUAACCCACCAAUAAAACAGUCUAACAACAGGGUAUCAUCCAAUCCAUAUGCUCUCGCGGCCAGGUCAUUAAAAGCAUCAAAGUAUUUUGUGACUGAUGAAGAUUGUUUCAGCUUAAACAAUUCCUUGCGAGGGUUCUCAAAUUGCGAUGGUCCAAAUUUCUCCCAAGUUUGGAACCAAGCCAGAGCUUUGCCUUCUAAGCUGACCGCAACUAUGUCGAGUUUCUGAUCCUCGGGAAUAUCAUAAAUCCUAAAGAAUCUCUCAGCCCUAAAACUCCACUGCAACACAUCAUCACCGCCGGAGAAGUGUGGAAAGUCCACCUUCAUCUGGCGUGGCGGAGCAAAGACGGAGGGCUGAGCAUAUGGUUUUGGGGAUUCCUCCACUCUCGGGGCUAGGUGGGCCUGAGUCGCUGCCAAAGAUUGUGCCAUCGCCGUGAGUUGUUCUUGCUGGCCAUCAACCUGUUCAGUCAAUUUGGUGAUAGCCACCUGCAUCGAUUGUAAUCGAGUAUUUUAUGCCAUGACUCAACGAGAGCAUCAAUUGUUACCAAAUAAAAAAGGAACAAACGUAUAGCUGUAUGGAAGUACACAAUUAAGACUAGGUAUAAAUCUGUGGAAGUGUAUAUGGUAUAAAAUUAAUGAAAAAAUUGGAAAUGUGUACAAAAUUUGGGUAAGAUAGGAAGUUCCAAGUUCACCUGUGCAAAAAAAGGAAUGAAUCAGCACAGAGUAAGUAAAUAGAAGGAAAUGACAGAGAGAAUGAAAGAUAGAUGCAGAAAGAAGGCUCUCACAAUUUCCUCCCCUUUCUCAGUCCGCUGCUGCUCCUUCAUAUUGGCUCCUCACUCCUCUCCUUCCAUGUGAAAGUUUGUUAGAUCCCUUCUGUUGCUCCCCUUUUUCUAACGGUUCUUUCUCUCUCUCACUUGUAACAGAUAUCUCAUGCAAAAAAAUCUUUUUAUCUAUCAAUUAUGUUUGGGUAUAAUAAUAUAAAAGUACUUUUUUGUUUAUUUAUUAUGUAAAAUUAUAAAAUCUUAAAUUUUAUUAAUUUAAAAAUUAUUUAAUUAAAUAUUUAAAAUUAUAUAUUAAAUUUUUAAUAUUUUUAUAUUUAGUUAAAUCGAUAAACUCCAGUUAAAUUCUAAUUGAAUUUUUGAAUUAUUAAACCAAUCGCUGUACGAAUUUGGUUCUCGCAACCUUUGGUUAAUAAUCAACUAUGAAAAUCUUAGCAGUUAGGAAACCAACAUGAGUCAUAUAAAUUGCACAAUUGAUUUUAGUUCCUCAUAAUUGAUUAGAGUAAAGUAUUGUUUUUAUCUUUUAACGUUUGGGGUAAAUUCUAUUUGUGUCCUUAAUAUUUAAAUCAUCCUAUUUGUAUCCCUAACGCUUGUAAAAGUGAUUCAAUGUUAUCCUACCGUCAAUUACACAUCAUGAGCGCUUUAGUUUGAGUUUUAAAAAUCACUUCCUGAAGUUAGAAUACAAAUGUCUGGGAUAGAAUCGAUGAUCUAUUCCAAAAAGUAGCUCAUUAAAUGUUGAAACUAAUUCCUACAAUAUUUACAUAAUUCUCUUUUCUAGGGACAUAAUUGAAUCUAAACACAAAUAGUGAGUAUAAUAUUAAAAUCGAACACAUCCAAGUGAGACCUAAUUGAGAAUGAAUACAUCCAACUGAGAAUAAUUGAAAAAUAUAAUAUGAUUUGUUAGUAUAAUUGAUAGUAGGAUAACAUUGAAUCACUUUUAUAAACGUUAAGGAUACAAAUAGGACGAUUUAAACGUUAGAGACACAAAUAGAACUUACCCCAAACGUUAGAAAAAAAAAUGAUACUUUACUCUAAUUGAUUAUGGAUCGAUUGAGAUCUUCAACACUAAUAAAAACAUGCUCUCUAACUAUAUAUUUUCUAUUUUUAAAAUAAUUAUAUUUAUAUUUUUUAGAUUUAUUAAAAAUUAAUGUAUAAAAUAAAAGAGACAUUUAUUUUAAAAGGUGAAAAAUUUAAUUAAAAAAAGUAACAUUAUGUAAUGUAGGAAUAAUUGUUAACACGUAAAAUUAUUAUAAUAAUUAUUAUUAAUUUUGUUUAAAUCUAAUCCCACAACUCUACAAAUAAGAAUGGAUGCAGGUCGGACUAUUCAACAAGAAUUUGUGACUCUGUUCGAUUUGACUUAUUUUAUUAAACAGGCUAAAUUUAAAUUUUUUGUAAAACCUAUUACUUAAAAAUAUCAGGUCAUAGGCUUUAAGAAAAAGCCUAUAAAACUUGUUACAUCAGCUCGUCAAAAUAUCUUUUGUAAAAAUAAAUUAUUCUUAGAGUAAAUUAUCAUUUUUACUCACGAAAAUUGAAAACGCUAGUAUAUUUAUUCAUAGAAGACAUAAAUUAUCAUUCAUAUCUAUAAAAAAUAGAUUUUAGUUGGCAAAAUUAUUCAAACUUUAAAAAAUAAAAUAAAAUUCUCAAAUUACCCUUAUUUCCACCUUUAUUGCCAUCAUCUCUCUUCUCUUUUCUCUCUCUCUCUCUCUUUCUCUCUAAAUAUUCUUAGGGACUCCAAUCCCAAACUCUACCACCAUUAUCCUUCCCACCUACUACCAUUACUGCAUCCAUUACUAUCACCACCACCGCCAUUGCCACCCUUUCUCCUCCCUCCACCUCUUCGACCCUGAUCUCAACCUCAAUUGCAGGCUCCGCUUGCCCCUUACCUUUCUCCCUUCCGAAGAUUCAAUCCCGUCACCUCCUCCUUUAUUGUUUCUCUCUAUAUACAAAGAAACAACACAAUAAACUAUACAAAAAGAUUCAAAAACACCCUUACACUCAAAAUAACACAACAAAUUCCAAAAUUUUUUUUUCUUUCUACAAAAAAAAAAAAAACUUUUUUCACCUGUCUAAAUCACUAAUGUUCCAACUAAUCUGAUACUACGUUCAUUUAAUGCUAAUUUGAUUCAAAUAAAUUUAUGAAGAUAAUAACAUAAUAAUGAAAAGAGGGAUCUUUACUUGAGGAGGCAAAGAUCGGAGAGAGUGUGUGAGAGCUUGAUGUGGCCGAACUCGAAGGCGUGCAUGGUAGGUAGAUGCAGAAAAGGUCGGUGGCGAAUUCGCAGCUAUUGAGAGGGAACUUCUCUGAUUUGGGCUACUUGGUGGCGGGAGAGUUUUCAAGGUCCCUGAAGAGUAACCUACCGGUAUCGACCGCCGUGACGCUCCGUGGCAUCCUUAGAUUCCAACAAAUCACUCAUACUACUCGCAGCAUCCUCAGAUCUAGGAUUUCUUUUCGGCAUAGAUAGAAGCUGAGCUUGCGUUAGAUGAUUAUGCUGGUGAUGGUGGUGCUGGUGUUGUUGAGACGCGACCGACACCGAUAAGGGAGUGUGUGGCAAAGGGGUUAGAGUGACGGUUGAGGAGGAGGGCAAGGCGGUGGUAUUGAGCGACGAUGUUGAGAUUGGAGUCGCCGAGAACAUUGAGAGAGAGAAGAGGGAGAGAUGAUGGUAGUAGUAGUAGUGGAGAGAAUAGUAGUUUGAGAAUUUUAUUUAUUUUUUUAGGUUUUGGAUAAUUUUGCUUGCAAAAAUCUAUUUUUUAUGGACAAUAAUUUUAAAUUAUUUAAACUGAGUUGUUAUUAUCUUUCCAACAUCAUUUUUAUAUUAAAGAGUCUUUAAUUUCAUUAGCAAAACUCUCUUGAUAAAUGUGUGUAUCUUAAUUACACAUGUGUCUAUGUCAAGUUAUGUGCGGGUAAAAAGAUUUCUCGAUCAGGAAAAAAAGGCCCAAGGCAAGAGUGUAAGAAGAAGGACUUUAGCCGAACACAGCUAAUAUAGUUUUUGUUUCGUUGAUUUUCUGAGAAAACUGAAAAAGUCUCCAUUUCCUUGAGUUGAAUUUUGAAGAAUGUUAGGAAUUCCUAGAGCCACAUAUGUAACACGUAACAGAGACAAGAAGGAGAAAGACAGAGAGAGGAAAAUUAAGGAAGUGGUGGAGGUAGAGUUAUUAGAGGCAGAGUGUAUUAGUAUUAUUUGAUUUGAGUCCAUGGAUGGGAGUGGUGGGGAUGAAUCCCCUUAUGGAAAUGAAAUGAUCUCAUUAUUCAGUAUUCACCACGAAAUUAAUUUGUUGUUUCUAUGCAAUAUCGAAUUUUUCUCCACCCGAGAAUAAUCAGGACAUUAAUCUUACACCUCAAAUAUUACUAGUAUAAUUGAGCCUUAAAAACGAUGUCUACAUGUUCUUAUCUAGAGAAGUUGUCCUUUUAGUAGAGAACAACAGUGACCAUAACCAAUGCUGUAGAAAGAUAAUGAGAUGAGUCCCAAAGAGGGUUGUGUGGUAACAAAGUCUCCUCAGCAUUGGUGGAUUAGGGAAAAGAUUCAAUGGCAACCUCAAAGUAUUGGGCCAAUAGAGUGUGAUGAAGAACUUGAAGCAAUAUAUGUUUGCCACGUGGCAGGGUGCGUAAUCUUGGUUGUGUGGACGUUAGAGCCCUAACCACCAAUCCUGAGGAUGUGAAUUUGUGUACACUCAACGAGGCGACUGCUAUAAGUCCAAGCCUUGCAUCAUUUCUGCUCCCAGUGGUAGGCUUCCUCUGCAUUUUCUCUCCAGUCUUCCCUUUCUUUGCUAAUCGCUUGCUACAAGAGUGCUAUGGCUUCCUCCGUCUCCACAGUCGGAGUUGUGAACAGAACCCUAGUACGAUUCAGUCUCUUACACUCUACUUAUUUGAUUUUAUACAAGUAUAGUAUUAAUUAAGUAUUGCAUUGCAGCUGAGCUUCAAUGGAUCAGGAGGAGGAAGCUCGGUUCCAAGCUCAGCGUUCUUGGGAAGCAGCUUGAAGAAGGUUCAGUCGAGAAUCCCAAACACGAAGGUGAGCCCUGGAUGCUUGAAGAUUGUGGCGGCGAAAGAGAUAGACGAGGAGAGCCAGACAGAUGGGGACAGAUGGAGGGGUCUGGCAUACGAUAUAUCGGAUGAUCAGCAAGACAUCACGAGGGGUAAGGGUAUGGUCGACAGCCUUUUCCAAGCCCCUAUGCAAACCGGAACUCACUACGCUGUCAUGAGCUCUUAUGAGUACCUCAGCCAGGGGCUUCGCCAGUCAGUCUCUCUUAUUCAUUAACUCCCACCUUCUUUCUUUCUUUCUUAACCUCAUUCAUUCAUUCUCUUAUUCUUAUUCAUUAGGUACGACAUUGACAACAUGCUUGACGGCUUCUACAUUGCCCCUGCUUUUAUGGACAAGCUUGUUGUUCACAUCACCAAGAACUUCAUGACCCUCCCCAACAUCAAGGCAUGAGUCUCUUACUUACUUAUUUUCACACCUCAUUCAAUCAACUAAUAUUUGAGCAUACAGGUUCCUCUCAUUCUUGGUAUCUGGGGAGGCAAGGGUCAAGGAAAGUCGUUCCAAUGUGAACUUGUUUUUGCCAAGAUGGGAAUCAAGUGAGUUGAUUGCUUACACACACUACUACUAGAAUACCCUAUCAUUCCGUUUAAUUAAUGAAUGUAUAUAUGCAGCCCAAUCAUGAUGAGUGCUGGAGAGUUGGAAAGUGGAAACGCAGGAGAGCCGGCGAAGCUGAUCAGGCAGAGAUACCGUGAGGCGGCAGAUUUGAUCAAGAAGGGGAAGAUGUGCUGCCUCUUCAUCAACGAUCUGGACGCAGGAGCUGGUCGUAUGGGCGGAACCACCCAAUACACAGUCAACAACCAGAUGGUCAACGCCACCCUCAUGAACAUUGCUGACAACCCAACCAACGUGCAGCUCCCCGGUAUGUACAACAAGGAGGAGAACCCACGUGUCCCCAUCAUCGUCACCGGAAACGAUUUCUCCACUCUCUACGCUCCUCUUAUCCGUGACGGUCGUAUGGAGAAGUUCUACUGGGCUCCCACAAGGGAAGACCGUAUUGGUGUCUGCACCGGUAUCUUCCGUACCGACAAUGUUCCCGCCGAUGACAUUGUCAAGC
rnacentral:lncRNA from 1 species